CCUACGGGUGGCAGCAGUAGGGAAUAUUGCGCAAUGGGGGAAACCCUGACGCAGCAACGCCGCGUGAGUGAGGAAGGUCUUCGGAUUGUAAAACUCUUUUCUUAGGGAAAAAUGUCCUCAUGGCUAAUAUCCAUGAGGAGUGAUGGUACCUAAGGAAUAAGCACCGGCUAACUUCGUGCCAGCAGCCGCGGUAAUACGAAGGGUGCAAGCGUUGUUCGGAAUCAUUGGGCGUAAAGCGCGCGCAGGCGGAUCAGCAAGUCAGGUGUGAAAUCUCGAGGCUCAACCUCGAAACUGCGCCUGAAACUGCUAGUCUAGAAUGUCGGAGGGGGCAGGGGAAUUUCACGUGUAGGGGUAAAAUCCGUAGAGAUGUGAAGGAACACCGGAGGCGAAGGCGCCUGCCUGGACGACUAUUGACGCUGAGGCGCGAAAGCGUGGGGAGC
rnacentral:rRNA from 1 species